GACGAACGCUGGCGGCGUGCUUAACACAUGCAAGUCGAACGGAAAGGCCCUGCUUUUGUGGGGUGCUCGAGUGGCGAACGGGUGAGUAACACGUGAGUAACCUGCCCUUGACUUUGGGAUAACUUCAGGAAACUGGGGCUAAUACCGGAUAGGAGCUCCUGCUGCAUGGUGGGGGUUGGAUAGUUUCGGCGGUUGGGGAUGGACUCGCGGCUUAUCAGCUUGUUGGUGGUGUAGUGGCUUACCAAGGCUUUGACGGGUAGCCGGCCUGAGAGGGUGACCGGCCACAUUGGGACUGAGAUACGGCCCAGACUCCUACGGGAGGAAGCAGUGGGGAAUAUUGCACAAUGGGCGGAAGCCUGAUGCAGCAACGCCGCGUGCGGGAUGACGGCCUUCGGGUUGUAAACCGCUUUCGCCUGUGACGAAGCGUGAGUGACGGUAAUGGGUAGAGAAGCACCGGCUAACUACGUG
rnacentral:rRNA from 1 species